rnacentral:lncRNA from 1 species
ACACAAGGUCUAGCUUCACCAGAUUGCCGCAUGACUCCAUUCAGCUUCUUUUAGGCAACUGCCAAGCGUACAGAUCUUCUUCUCCGGCCGGUUCUGGUCUCAAAUUGUGUCGCCCAGCAGAUCUCCUUACGACGCACUAUCUAUCAUGAUCGGACUUCUGUUCUCCUUGCGAUGCGCAUCCACAAAUACAGCUUUCUCAGUUUCGGGACAGAUUUUGUGAACCAAUCUGACCAGCUUUUCCGGUCAUUUUUCUGGCUCUUCAGCGCGUCUGCCUAAGGUUUCGCGAUAUCGGCACUUAUUUGAUUUUUUGUGCGUGAGGUGUUCUGACCAAUCUUUUAUAGUUUUUU